AUGUCCAACUUUAAAAUUCCCAAAAAAAUAUGCAAGGGAAUCACAGAUGUCUCAUUUUUUGGUGGGGGACGAGGACAAUCAGAAACGGAUGCAUUGGAUGACUUGGUGAAAAAUGUGUGUACCCAAAAAUCAAGGGGAGUGGGAUUCCAGGAUAUUCAUUGUUUCAACCUAGCGAUGUUGGCAAAAUAAGCAUGACGUAUUCUUGAGAAUCCAGAAUCCUUAUGUGCGACCGUAGUGGGAGCUAAAUAUUUCCCAAACGGUGAUUUAUUGGAUACAAAACUAAAGAAGGAUCCUCUUUUACUUUGCAAAGUAUUAUGGCGGGGUUAA
rnacentral:rRNA from 1 species